rnacentral:lncRNA from 1 species
UCAUAUCCAUUUCAAAUUCCAUACAAGGUUCGAGAAUCAAGACCAAUUCAAAUAUCAAUCCAAUUUUAUUCAAUGUAAAUUCCAUCAUUAUAAUCAAUUAUAAAUUUUCAUUACAUGAGAAAAAUACAAAAAAAAAAGUGUGUUGACUUUUGUCAACAGUUGACUUUUUGGUCAAAUUUGACCAAAGUCAACCCAAUCCCUUUUUCCAUCCUAAUUCUAAUCCAAUCUUCAAUCCUUGAUUCUUGAUCUUUGGUUUGACCAGUUGUAGACGGAUACUUCAAAUUCUAACUUUGAUGCCAUGGACUUUUGUCCAACCAUUGUCACUUCAUGGCAUACUUGAUUAAGGAACAUAGACCUAGCAAAACAAGCUAAUGAACCAAAGUCAAAGUUUGAAAUGAGAAUAGAAACUUAGCAUUACAAAGUCAGAAUGGCACAAGUGAAAACCAUGAAGCAACACAUGCAUGAGAUCUCAAACUGCAAAAACACAAGUCAGAAUGAAUGCAACCUAGCAAGGCAUGAAUGCUAUCAGAAAUAAACAAAAACCACGGGCCAAGUCAUAAGCUUGUUCAAGCAUAGGCCAUGAUACAAACCACGUUAGAAUCCAUGUCAUGAUUCAUGAAUAAAGCCUACAAUAUACCUGAUGCAGAACCAUGAUUCCAUGCUAUAAACCAAGGUUAAACAUAGGCCAAGCAAUGCACAAAGUUGAAACCAUGCUGCAAUGCCAAUGUUACACCACAUGACCUAAUACACAACCUAACCCUUCAUAAAACUAACUAACAACUAAAUUCAACUUGACCAAACCACAAAUAAUGAGGCAAACCCAAUUGUAAUACCUGCCCUGCAAAUCUCAAUUCAUUCAUCACACUCUCCAAUUCAUUCACAUAAUUCCCUCGAUUCCUCAACUCUCAAUCUUUCAAAUUUUCUCUCUAUCCUCUCAGAACUACUCUCACAAAACUCUCUCUCAAUCCAAUUCCUUCUUAACACCAAGUCUCACGCGCGCACAUAAAAAGCAAAAGAAGGUUGAAGAAGAAGUAGAAGAGGCAUUUAAGAACAGAAAGAAAGGAAUAAGAAAGAGAAAUUUGAGGAGAAAGCAAUUGAUACCUGUUUCGAUCCGGUGAGUAUUCGUCGUCUUUUUUCUGUUUUCAUCUCAAGUUUAUGCGCGUUUGAAUUGUCAUGAUUGGAGGAUGAUUUCACAGUUGAAGGUUGAACUCGCAUUUAGGUCUUGAAUUUGUUGUGUUCAUCCAGCGUUGCUUCGCCGUGAGGUAUCGUUGAAACGCCUUGAUUCCGAACGCGGCACUACGAAGAAGAUACGAACGUGAAGCUGGCCGAUAAACACGAAUCCACAUUGAUGAUCGGUGAUUUCAAAAUGCAGAGAUAUGUUGCUUUG